CUGUUCAGUCUGUUUGUUUUCCAGGUGGCCAGGGACAAAACCAGGCUCCUCUGGUGGCCAGGGACAAAACCAGGCUCCUCUGGUGGCCAGGGACGACCAGGCUCUUCAGCAGUCUCGCUCCUCUGAUCGAGUGUCAGUCGCUGAAGUCGUUCUGUGACAGAAAGCAGCAGAGGUUCGAGUCACUAGGAGAGCCCGGAGAGCAGCUCGGCACAGAGCGAUCAGGUUGCAGGACCACCAGUACCCCUCUGACCCACACACUGUAUUCCACAUGGUAGGUCACUGUGGAAUAAACUCAGUCCAGCCGGCCCUUGGAUCUUGUUCCCGUCUUCUUUUUAAAUGGAAAAUUAGAUUUUCUGUUGUAUUCAGACCGAAACGGAUCACCCACAUUAUCUUUAUUUUGUGAGUCAGUUCUUGAAAACGAGGGAUUUGAAGACAAAUUUCAAAUAUAAUAUACAAAUAUUCAAAUAUAAUGUACAAAUAUAAUAUAUCUGUAAAUAUAUCCAGGGUGAAGCAGGGCAUCAGGUGUUCCUGGUAGGGUUGUGGUGUGAAAUGGUCACAGAGAGUUACUGUGUUAGUGGGCUUCGGGGAUGUACUUAGUCUCCCCACGUAGGAGCUACGGACCACAUGGAACCAAGAUCUGAGCCAGCAGCGACACUUCAUAAUCCACCUGAUUUUUCCAACCCGAGUGACGUCAGUGUAAAUAUGACUGUUCAAUUUCUAGGUCUGGCAGUAUGCAGGUAACAAUAUAUGGGAUUAAGUUGGAAUAAAGGGAUUUUUUUUCUUGUUAGUACAUUCUGGAUGUGGGUUCAUAACCAACCAAUGAACUCAUUUUUAAAUAUUUUUUUAUGAAACGACAAC